AUUGAACGCUGGCGGCAGGCCUAACACAUGCAAGUCGAGCGGAUGAAGGGAGCUUGCUCCUGGAUUCAGCGGCGGACGGGUGAGUAAUGCCUAGGAAUCUGCCUGGUAGUGGGGGAUAACGUCCGGAACGGGCGCUAAUACCGCAUACGUCCUGAGGGAGAAAGUGGGGGAUCUUCGGACCUCACGCUAUCAGAUGAGCCUAGGUCGGAUUAGCUAGUUGGUGGGGUAAAGGCCUACCAAGGCGACGAUCCGUAACUGGUCUGAGAGGAUGAUCAGUCACACUGGAACUGAGACACGGUCCAGACUCCUACGGGAGGCAGCAGUGGGGAAUAUUGGACAAUGGGCGAAAGCCUGAUCCAGCCAUGCCGCGUGUGUGAAGAAGGUCUUCGGAUUGUAAGGCACUUUAAGUUGGGAGGAAGGGCAGUAAGUUAAUACCUUGCUGUUUUGACGUUACCAACAGAAUAAGCACCGGCUAACUUCGUG
rnacentral:rRNA from 1 species